AUGGCAGCAGUUCCGGAAAUCAUGGAUUGGAUCUACCAAAAUGUCAUGAAUAAAGUGAAUGAAAUGAGUAGUUUUCAACGCAAUCUAUUUAUUCUGGCCUAUAAUUACAAAAUGGAACAGAUUUCAAAAGGACGUAGUACUCCACUGUGCAAUAGCUUUGUUUUCCAGAAAGUUCGAAGCUUGCAAGGGGGAAAUAUUCAUCUCCUGUUGUGUGGUGGUGCUCCAUUUUCUGCAACCACACAGCGAUUCAUGAACAUCUGUUUCUGCUGUCCUGUUGGUCAGGGAUAUGGACUCACUGAAUCUGCUGGGGCCAGAACAAUUACAGAAGUGUGGGACUAUAAUACUGGCAGAGUGGGAGCACCAUUAGUUUGCUGUGAAAUCAAAUUCAAAACUGGGAGGAAGGUGGAUACUUUAAUACUGAUAAACCACAUCCCAGGGGUGAAAUUCUUAUUGGGGGCCAAAAUGUGACAAUGGGAUACUACAAAAAUGAAGCAAAAACAAAAGCUGAUUUCUUUGAAGAUGAAAAUGGACAAAGGUGGCUCUGUACUGGGGAUAUUGGAGAGUUUGACCUGAUGGAUGCUUAAAAAUUAUUGAUCGUAAAAAGGACCUUGUAAAACUACAGGCAGGAGAAUAUGCUUCCCUUGGGAAAGUAGAGGCAGCUUUGAAGAAUCUUCCUCUAGUAGAUAACAUUUGUGCGUAUGCAAACAGUUAUCAUUCUUAUGUCAUUGGAUUUGUUGUGCCAAAUCAAAAGGAACUAGCUGAACUAGCUAGAAAGAAAGGACUUAAAGGGACUUGGGAAGAGCUGUGUAACAGUUGUGAAAUGGAAAAUGAGGUACUUAAAGUGCUUUCUGAAGCUGCUAUUUCAGCAAGUCUGGAAAAGUUUGAAAUUCCAGUAAAAAUUCGUUUGAGUCCUGAACCGUGGACCCCUGAAACUGGUCUGGUGACAGAUGCCUUCAAGCUGAAACACAAAGAGCUUAAAACACAUUACCAGGUGGACAUCGAGCGAAUGCAUGGAAGAAAAUAAUUAUUCUCUUCUGGCAUCAGUUUGCUACAGUGAGCUCAGAUCAAAUAGGAAAAUACUUGAAAUGCAUGUCUCAAGCUGGGAGGCAAACUCCAUUCUUCAUAUUCAACCUAAACUGUUACUUCUCGUGACGUAACAAGUUUUAACUGACAGGAUUAGUAAAACAUUAAGACA